GAAGACCACAGUUUCCUGUCGCGUGGAUGUGUUUCCUCUCUGGCCAUUGCCAUCCGCCCAAAUCUACAGACAUCCCGCAUGUUCCCGGGCUCGUCUCCCCAAUACAGGGCACCAAGGCUGUAGACUGCGCAGCCCUCCUGGAGACAGAUGGAAGCUCCUUGGGUCGACAGAUUACAGCUUCUGGAACCCCCUACUCCCUUCAACUCCGAGAUGGACACCCACUGUCCAGGGAGAGGAUGCCUGGAAAUAACAGCUGGGAUCUACAGUGGCCAAAGAGUUGUCUCCGUCUUGCUACAUCGACAAACUGGUGCUCCUGAGUGAGGAUUGUGCCCUGGGAUGGGGGAUUCAGUUUCUUCAUUUAUAGUUGGAAGUGGGUGAAGCCACUUCGGAAGCGUUUUCCUCUCCACUCUGACAACAGGCAAGAGUGAGGGUCCAACAAUACAGAGGAAGUAACGUGUCGCUGCUACUCUUCCAUGCCCAGUGCCAGGAGCGACGGUACACUCCAGAGUGCUGUGCCCUGAUGGGCCUUUGAGUGGCCAGUGCAGUGGAUCAUCAGCCCUGUCUCCCAAGAGCUCCAGUCCCUUCUCCGGAGAGGAAGUGGGUCCACUGGCAGCUCAGGAGGCCAUAGCAGGUAAGUCAUACACUUGCUACUGUUCAGAGGCCUCAUCAAGAGAUUGGAGUUUGAGAGAAUGUAAGGAUGGCUCUGUCCAGUCUGGAGCCCCAGCCUUUGAGUCCCUAGAGUUUCCUGUAGUAUUUUCUGCCUCUUUGGGGGCGGGGAAGAUGAGUGGGGAGUGGUGUGUGGAUCCUCCCACCUAGGUCGUGCAUGGGUAAGUGUGAGGCCUUUCCAGUGUUAGUGAAUUGUAAGGGCAAGGGAGUGGACGUAGGCAUUGAAGACACUUGUAUAUGCCACGGUCUCCCUCUUUUUGUCAUUGUGUUGGGUAGCAGUGACUUGUUAGCAGUGGAGGGAAAAGUCAUAGUUGAACGAUGGAGAGUUAGGGUGGUCCGGAGCACCUAUCUGCUCUGGCUCUUUGAGGCCCCUCCCUUCCCGUUCAUUCUUCUGCCAGUGGCAGAAGUGCACCCACGUGUGUGCCUUGCUUCUGCCCUGGAAAGCUGGGCCUCAGCCUAGACAUCAGGUGACUAGCUGUUACCUAGCUAGUCCCCAGAUUCCACCUUAAUUAAGCAGCCUUACCUGUUUUGAUCUUCCAUUUCCUGACUUGGAAAACUAAAGCUAAGACAAAGGUUUUUCAGGACUGACUCCCCCUUCUUCUUGGCAGAUUGUGGGGCUCUGUGCAGUUGAUGUUAGUUAACCACUGGAUCCACGUGUUCACCGUGGCUUGCGCCCCUGCAUCCGAAAGUGAUCUUGGCUGCCGUGUCCUGGUCAUUGGUAGUGCAGGGAAAGGAUGCGGAAAGACGGGCUCCGAGCUCGGGGCGUCUGGCCUGGAGCUUUCCUACACUUGUGUCUUGCUCUGCAGCCUUACGGAAGUGUGGGUGGCGCUUUCUGGAAGCUGCACAAGUCAGUGCUGGGUCUUCGCAACUUGGUGUUCUGUUUCCAGAAACUUGGGGUGUUUGCAUGUGCUAGGUCAGCACAGAUUUCCAAAGGAUCUCUAGGUGGGUUCCCUAACUUUUCACAGAGGAGCAGAAGGUAGAUGACAGGAGGAGAGGUGGGGCUGGACUGAGGGGAGCUGUGUGUGCCAGGGUGGGGUGGGGCGGGGCGUGUAACAGCCCUUAAGCGUGUGUUGAGAGAAGGAGCUCCCUGGUACAGAGUGUGCAGCUCCCUUCCCAGCCUGUGGUCCCCGUGGCCCAAUGAGUUUUUGUAUCACUUGUGAGCCACUGGUCUUAAAAUGCAUGGUUUGCAGACCAAAAUGCAGUCCAACAUUAUUUGUUUCAUGUGUCUAUGUGAAUGCACAUAUGUAUGUAUGUCAUUUGUGCCUGGUGCCUGUGAAGAGUUUAUUGGGGGCUAGGAAUUUCAGAGGGUGACUCUUCAGGAUCUAUAUGGCUUCAGGCACGGCCAUGUUGGACAGUAGCUGGGAGCUCACAUACGUGAUAGGACCACCAGGCAGGGAGCUAACUGAAUGGCAUGGGCUUUUGGAGCCUCAAAGCUCUCCUGCCCCACCCCCAUGAUACCUCCACUAACAAGGCCAUACUUCCUAAUGGUCCCAAGCAGUUCUACCAACUAGGGACCAAAUAUUCAAGUAUAUGAGCCUAUAGGUGGAGGAACUUCCACACAGAUCCAAACUUUUAACAAAACAAAAAGCAGGAAAGCCAACUUUAUCAGAAGUUACAAUGUAAUCAGUGUCAGAAGGAAGAGAAUGGAAGUGGGAGACUGAGGUGGGGGGUAUGCUGAGGAUAUGGGAAGUGGGAGAUUGCGUGGGGGGGGGCUGAGGGUGUGGCUUUCAGUUGAGUGUCCAGCAUGGGAGGAGAAAGGGGGCUCUGGGAAGAAGCUGCUGCAGCCACCUUGUGUUCCCCCCACCCCCAGCUAAUAGCUGUGUCUUGGUUCCUGGUGAGAUCUUGGUUGACUCGGGGGUCCUGAGUGUGGCUUGUCUCUGCAGGAUUGUCACGUGUGCUCAACAGUCCUCCUCGGCUUUCCAGAAGAGGCUGGAACAGGGCCCUUGAAGAUGUUUGUGGACAUCAGAGGGCCAAAGACGACACAAAGUGAAACUGGAGACACCGCCCCCCCUUGGCAUCAUGAAACUGCCGAUGUUACUGGCUCAUGCAUGGGAGACACCAGCAUACAAAGUCUUGACACCAACACCUCAGAGGGCUGUGUUCUGUCCCCGUGACCAUCAUCUAGUGCCUGGAAAGACUAGUGACAAGAACUUGUUGCCAACUUCCUAUUACCUCCCUAACAGUUGUGCAAUAAACCCCAUAGGUUAAUUCAGUCUGCCUUUUAAA
rnacentral:lncRNA from 1 species